GAUGAACGCUGGCGGCGUGCUUAACACAUGCAAGUCGAACGGAAAGGCCCUGCUUUUGUGUCGUGCUCGAUUGGCGAACGGGUGAGUAACACGUGUGUAUCCUGCCCUUGACUUUGGGAUAACUUCAGGAAACUGGGGCUAUUACCGGGUAGGAGCUCCUGCUGCAUGGUGGUGGUUGGAAAGUUUCGGCGGUUGUGGAUCGACUGGCGGGUUAUGAGCUUGUUGGUCUAGUAGUGGCUUACCAAGGGUUUGACGGAUAGCCUGCCUUAGAGGGUUGACGGCCACCAGGCGACUGCGAGAGGCCGCAGAAGCCUACGGGAGGCAGCGGGCGAGAAUCUUGCAGAAUGGGGGGAAGCCAGAGACAGCAACGCUGGGUGCGGGAUGACCGCCUACGGGUUAUAAACCGAUUUGUACGGAGACGAGGCGUGAGUGACGGUAAUGGGUAAGAAAGCACCGGCUAACUACGUG
rnacentral:rRNA from 1 species